CGUUCUGCAGCCUCCUGGGUCUGAGCAGUUACCAGCCAGUCGCCUGAGAACUUUCCACUCCAGCACCAGGAAAAAUGAGAUUUUUGCUCCUUUUAAGUUUCGUGGCAGCAGCUUUAGAAGGUGUCUGGUCCCAUUUCAAGCUGGUGGAGUCCGGAGGGGGGGUGAAAAGCCCCGGAGAGUCUCUUUUCCUCUCCUGCAAAGCCUCCGGGUUCCCCUUCCGCGAUUCCUACAUGAGCUGGCUCCGACAGGCUCCAGGAAAGGGACUAGAAUGGGUCAGUUCUAUAAACCCCGAUGGGAGCGAAACACGCUACCAUGAUUCAGUGAAAGGCCGAUUCACCAUCUCCAGGGAUAAUUCCAAGAAUGAGCUGUAUCUGCGACUGUCCCACCUGGAACCCGAGGACUCCGCCGACUAUUACUGUGAGGAAGGCAAAGUGACAGUCCAUUUUCCCAGCAGCCACGUGGGGGCAGCUGUGACAGUCACCCCACUUCGGGCUUAGACAGGAGACCUGGCAACUGGGUGAAUGUAACACAAACCUACCGUUUGUGUUACAUUCACCCUACGGUUACUCACAUCUUCUUGUCAACUAUUUGAAAUUGGCCAUCC